UAACUUUUUUAUUAAUCCUACUCUCAAUUUCAUCAGCAGAAUCAACCAUAUAGUAAAGUCUAUUUUAAACCUUAAACUGGUAGAGCACGUCGAAAAAGAACCCUGAACUCUAAAUCCCUGAAGUUGAUACCCCGUAUUCAUUGAUCCCGAUCAACUUUGACCCUAGACCUGUUUGGUACACUGGGAAAAGGCCGAUCCCAACCGAGAUCACAAGCUACUCUCACUGACAUCCCUGGCCCACAUGUCAUAUCCAUCUUCCCCAAAAUUUUCCGCUUUAGCUGCCAUACGUCCUCCUGUUGCUAUAUGCGUGUUCCCGAGCGGCUUGUUAAACUUGACAGAGGAGCUUGCGCCAGCGUUGACUCCUGCAAUACGAAAACCACAGGCUGCAACCACGCCGUUUUGGCGUCGGCAGGAUCCACGGCGUCGUCAGUCGUGAUGCCUGAACUUCUCUCUGCCGCAACUAUGAGGAUGGUGCUCUCCCCGGCAUGCGUACUUUUGCCCCAUGGACGUCGGGACGUCGAGGCAGCACGCGUUUGCCAAGGGGUGGCGUGUUUGAGAAAUCAAUCAGCCAGCUUCGGUUGCUAGCUAGCCUCGCCGUACUUGCUCCAUAGAGGAUUUUGAUCAGCCCUGCAUUUGCGCAUCUUGCUGUGUCUGGUCAGUUUGCAAACUAACUGCGUUAAGUUUCGUACAUGUGUGAUCCUCGGAAAGAAUUCGCCGGCUCGCGUCAGCGUGCCCGCAUUCUCUAGUCCGGGACGGGCCUGUGGUGUUCUCGCCGGGCUGCAUGGUUGCUUUGUCGUCGUCGUCAGGCAGGGGUAGCACUAGCAGCCGUUGACACCACACUAGUAAGCAAUGUGAGAAAAGACAUGGAGGAAAGUGCGAUGAUUAAGAGCGGGAAGCCUUCGUGUGGCAACAUGCGACGACAUCGAGAAGGUCAGCCUCCCAAGCGCCAGAGCAGCAGAACUAACGGGAGCAGGCUGUUGUGCAGCAGCUCAUCGGAGACGAACAGGGGAGGUCCGAGCUCUUGCUCCCGCGCUUCGACGGCUGGGUCAUGAUCGGGACAAGGAGUCGCCGUGCCAAGCAUCUCCUCUGUAAGCCGCCGCCUGAAGACAGAGGGAGUGGAUCUGAAGUGAAUUUAUGUGAGAGAGAGACAAGGGAAGUAGAUGAAUAUUACACGGGGGACCACAUAGUCAGUGAGAGUAGAGAUCGAAUCCGGCCGGAUUCUCCACUUCCUGAUACAACAAACAAGAUUUUACUCUGGCAAGGUUAUGAUUGACCGGGAUCACUGAAUACAGGGUAUCAAUUUCAGGGAUUGAGAGGUCAGGGUUCAUUUUCCACCCGAUGUAUGAGUUCAAGGUUCAAGACAGACUUUACUCAUAUAUAAUUGUGGAAAUUUACGAGAGAACCCUGAGGUGGUAAAAGCGGACCAACACGAUGGUAUACGACCCCAUUUAUCUUGAACACAUAGCGAGCACUACCAAUACGAUGGUAUACGACCCAUUCAUCUUGAACACAUAGGGAGCACCACCAACGUUGAUACUCUGAUCAAUAUAAGCACCCCAAGGAUGUAAAACAAAACAUAGAGUUAUACCCUGGGUCAAAACUCCGCUUACCAAACAAGAUGUCGAGAGGCGAAUUCUAUAGUUCCUCUCCUGCCUGAUCAAACACAUAAAUCGUUUAGAAGAUGCAUCUCCAUCAAAUCGCAACAGACUGUCCAGAGGAGUUGGCCCCACAUGGUGAACCGAACUUUGGCGCCACGACAACACCNNN
rnacentral:lncRNA from 1 species